rnacentral:rRNA from 1 species
CACGUAGGGCGCAAGCGUUGUCCGGAAUUAUUGGGCGUAAAGAGCUCGUAGGCGGUCUGUUGCGUCCGCUGUGAAAACUCGGGGCUUAACCCCGAGCCUGCAGUGGAUACGGGCAGACUAGAGGUAGGUAGGGGAGAAUGGAAUUCCCGGUGUAGCGGUGAAAUGCGCAGAUAUCAGGAAGAACACCCGUGGCGAAGGCGGCUCUCUGGGACGGUACUGACGCUGAGGCGCGAAAGCUAGGGGAGCGAACAGG